GGAUUUUUAUUAUUAAAUAAUAAUAUGGAAAAAAUUAAUGAAGUUUUUUUGGACUCUGUAACAACUAGUUGGAGUGGUUAAUCUGUUCCUUUACAUGAUAAUGUAUACUCAGAUGCAUCUUGUAAUGUGGUAGAAUAGUUUUUUAUUCUAAUUUCUUUUUCUUUAAAAAAUACUUUAAGACUUCUUUGUUAAAUUGUAAUUAAAAUUUUUUUAUUUGGUUCCAAUAGAGGAGGGGGAUAGCUUGCUCCUCUUUUUAUAAAGACAAAUUAUACACCUCUAGGUGUAUAAAUUGCUUUUAUGAAAGGGGGUGCAUAAAGGCAAUUUAUACAUACUAUACUACACUUUUUUAUUUCAAAAGGCUUGUUGUUUUCGUGUAUUUUUUUUUAGGUUGGAGUGUAUAAUCCGUCUUUUUUCAUGACAAAAUGGUUACUCUGAUGCAUUUUCAAUUGCAAGUUUCCAAAUACAUGCAAAGUAAAGAAAAUUGUUGGCGACAUGUAUUAAAGUCUUCUGUCAUAGUUGACUCAGCAAGAAUGAAGACAUUGAUACACUUUUGCAUUAUGGAAUACCCAAUUUGGCAGUUCCUCGCCCACUGCCACCCAAAUACAGGUAAAUAAAUUUCCAAUGUUUCCCUAAUGUGCUUUUGAUUGUUGGUGACAUGUCGCGACGUUAGAAUUAUCUUGUGCUAUCUCCA
rnacentral:lncRNA from 1 species